CCUACGGGAGGCAGCAGUGGGGAAUAUUGCGCAAUGGGCGAAAGCCUGACGCAGCGACGCCGCGUGAGGGAUGAAGGUCUUCGGAUCGUAAACCUCUGUCAGCAGGGAAGAACGGUCACUGUGCUAAUCAGCAGUGAAUUGACGUUACCUGCAAAGGAAGCACCGGCUAACUCCGUGCCAGCAGCCGCGGUAAUACGGAGGGUGCGGGCGUUAAUCGGAAUUACUGGGCGUAAAGCGCUCGUAGACGGUAUGUCAAGUCAAGGGUGAAAUCCCCGCGCUCAACGUGGGAACUGCCUUUGAAACUGGCAGACUGGAGUGUGUGAGAGGAUAGUGGAAUUCCAGGUGUAGGAGUGAAAUCCGUAGAUAUCUGGAGGAACAUCAGUGGCGAAGGCGACUAUCUGGCACAUAACUGACGCUGAGGAGCGAAAGCGUGGGUAGCAAACAGGAUUAGAUACCCUGGUAGUC
rnacentral:rRNA from 1 species